rnacentral:rRNA from 1 species
CGGACGGGUGAGUAAUGUCUGGGAAACUGCCUGAUGGAGGGGGAUAACUACUGGAAACGGUAGCUAAUACCGCAUAACGUCGCAAGACCAAAGUGGGGGACCUUCGGGCCUCAUGCCAUCAGAUGUGCCCAGAUGGGAUUAGCUUGUUGGUGUGGUAACGGCUCACCAAGGCGACGAUCCCUAGCUGGUCUGAGAGGAUGACCAGCCACACUGGAACUGAGACACGGUCCAGACUCCUACGGGAGGCAGCAGUGGGGAAUAUUGCACAAUGGGCGCAAGCCUGAUGCAGCCAUGCCGCGUGUAUGAAGAAGGCCUUCGGGUUGUAAAGUACUUUCAGCGAGGAGGAAGGGGGGAUGGCUAAUAACCAUUUUCAUUGACGUUACUCGCAGAAGAAGCACCGGCUAACUCCGUGCCAGCAGCCGCGGUAAUACGGAGGGUGCAAGCGUUAAUCGGAAUUACUGGGCGUAAAGCGCACGCAGGCGGUCUGUCAAGUCGGAUGUGAAAUCCCCGGGCUCAACCUGGGAACUGCAUUCGAAACUGGCAGGCUAGAGUCUUGUAGAGGGGGGUAGAAUUCCAGGUGUAGCGGUGAAAUGCGUAGAGAUCUGGAGGAAUACCGGUGGCGAAGGCGGCCCCCUGGACAAAGACUGACGCUCAGGUGCGAAAGCGUGGGGAGCAAGCAGGAUUAGAUACCCUGGUAGUCCACGCUGUAACGAUGUCGACUUGGAGGUUGUUCCCUUGAGGAGUGGCUUCCGGAGCUAACGCGUUAAGUCGACCGCCUGGGGAGUACGGCCGCAAGGUUAAAACUCAAAUGAAUUGACGGGGGCCCGCACAAGCGGUGGAGCAUGUGGUUUAAUUCGAUGCAACGCGAAGAACCUUACCUACUCUUGACAUCCACGGAACU